UGCCAUGCAUCUCCGAUCCCUACUUCCGCGUGGCACCGGCUGGGAUACGAGCAACCUUAGGGAAGAUCGGAUAAUAAACCCCGGUAGGAUCUUCGGUCAUAUGCUAACAGGGACGG
rfam:Aedes albopictus isolate Foshan contig23986, whole genome shotgun sequence.